GACGAACGCUGGCGGCGUGCUUAACACAUGCAAGUCGAACGGAGCACCCUUGAAGGAGUUUUCGGACAACGGAUAGGAAUGCUUAGUGGCGGACUGGUGAGUAACGCGUGAGGAACCUGCCUUCCAGAGGGGGACAACAGUUGGAAACGACUGCUAAUACCGCAUGACGCAUUUGAAUCGCAUGGUUUGAAUGUCAAAGAUUUAUCGCUGGAAGAUGGCCUCGCGUCUGAUUAGCUAGUUGGUGAGGUAACGGCCCACCAAGGCGACGAUCAGUAGCCGGACUGAGAGGUUGGCCGGCCACAUUGGGACUGAGAUACGGCCCAG
rnacentral:rRNA from 1 species